rnacentral:lncRNA from 1 species
CAUCCUCAAGCCGAUUGGUAAAGGUUAUCUCCGGUUCGAUUUCUUCGACGACGGUCUCCCCGAAGACGACGACGUAAGAAGACACGAUUUCACCAUCUACCGACCACACCUCGAGCUGGUCGGACAACGAGAGAUCAAAAACCUCGUAAAACGUUACGAGGAAGUGACGAAACAGCCCGUGACGUGUUUCAUCAACAACCCUUUCGUCUCAUGGGUCUGUGACGUAGCGGAAGAUCUUCAAAUCCCUUGUGCUGUUCUCUGGGUCCAGUCUUGCGCUUGCUUAGCCCCUCGAGCUGGUCGGACAACGAGAGAUCAAAAACCUCGUAAAACGUUACGAGGAAGUGACGAAACAGCCCGUGACGUGUCUCAUCAACAACCCUUUCGUCUCAUGGGUCUGUGACGUAGCGGAAGAUUUUCAAAUCCCUUGUGCUGUUCUCUGGGUCCAGUCUUGCGCUUGCUUAGCGUCGUAUUACUAUUACCACCACAAGCUUGUUAACUUCCCGACCAAAACAGACCCCGAGAUCGAUGUCCAAAUCCCUGGCAUGCCUCUCUUAAAACACGACGAGAUCCCUUCUUUCAUUCACCCUUUAACUCCUUAUUCCGCUUUGCGAGAAGUGAUCAUUGAUCAGAUCAAACGUCUUCACAAGCCUUUCGCUGUUCUCGUCGACAGUUUCUACUCCUUGGAGAAAGACAUCAUCGACCACAUGUCAAGUCUCUCUCUCCCCGGCUCUAUCAAACCGCUCGGCCCGCUUUAUAAAAUGGCCAAAACGUUAAUAUGUGAUGACAUU